rnacentral:rRNA from 1 species
GACAGAGGCCUCGAGCGUUAGGCGGAAUCACUGGGCUUAAAGCGUGUGUAGGCGGAUCGUUAAGUACCUUGUGAAAUCCCACGGCUCAACCGUGGAACUGCUGGGUAUACUGGCGGUCUUGAGCCACCUAGGGGCGAGCGGAACAAGCGGUGGAGCGGUGAAAUGCGUAGAUAUCGCUUGGAACGCCAACGGUGAAAACAGCUCGCUGGGGGUGUGCUGACGCUGAGACACGAAAGCCAGGGGAGCGAACGGG